rnacentral:rRNA from 1 species
AGUGAACGCUGGCGGUAGGCCUAACACAUGCAAGUCGAACGGCAGCACAGUAAGAGCUUGCUCUUACGGGUGGCGAGUGGCGGACGGGUGAGGAAUACAUCGGAAUCUACUUUUUCGUGGGGGAUAACGUAGGGAAACUUACGCUAAUACCGCAUACGACCUACGGGUGAAGGCAGGGGAUCUUCGGACCUUGCGCGAUUGAAUGAGCCGAUGUCGGAUUAGCUAGUUGGCGGGGUAAAGGCCCACCAAGGCUACGAUCCGUAGCUGGUCUGAGAGGAUGACCAGCCACACUGGAACUGAGACACGGUCCAGACUCCUACGGGAGGCAGCAGUGGGGAAUAUUGGACAAUGGGCGCAAGCCUGAUCCAGCCAUACCGCGUGGGUGAAGAAGGCCUUCGGGUUGUAAAGCCCUUUUGUUGGGAAAGAAAAGCAGCAGGUUAAUACCCCGCUGUUCUGACGGUACCCAAAGAAUAAGCACCGGCUAACUUCGUG